rnacentral:lncRNA from 1 species
CUAUAGCCUACGCCUUCUGCCGUGGCCCCAGGCACCCGGACUCGAGUCGUCUAAAAUUUUGCUCGGACAUCCAAUAUGGCCAAAGGAACCAUAGUCACCGCCCCGCCUUGACCAAAUUACAUUUUUUGGAUGUUUACGGCCAUAAAAUAUGAAAUCCGUGCGAGUCCCAAAUUUUCAUGUGCUAUAGCCCACGCCUUCUGCCGUGUCCCCGG